rnacentral:rRNA from 1 species
GUAGGUGGCAAGCGUUGUCCGGAAUUAUUGGGCGUAAAGCGCGCGCAGGCGGUUCUUUAAGUCUGAUGUGAAAGCCCACGGCUCAACCGUGGAGGGUCAUUGGAAACUGGAGAACUUGAGUACAGGAGAGGAAAGCGGAAUUCCACGUGUAGCGGUGAAAUGCGUAGAGAUGUGGAGGAACACCAGUGGCGAAGGCGGCUUUCUGGUCUGUAACUGACGCUGAGGCGCGAAAGCGUGGGGAGCAAACAGGAUUAGAUACCCUGGUAGUCCACGCCGUAAACGAUGAGUGCUAAGUGUUAGGGGGUUUCCGCCCCCUUAGUGCUGCAGCUAACGCAUUAAGCACUCCGCCUGGGAGUACGGCCGCAAGGCUG